rnacentral:rRNA from 1 species
UACGGAGGGGGCUAGCGUUAUUCGGAAUUACUGGGCGUAAAGCGCACGUAGGCGGCGAUUUAAGUCAGAGGUGAAAGCCCGGGGCUCAACCCCGGAAUAGCCUUUGAAACUAGAUUGCUAGAAUCUUGGAGAGGCGAGUGGAAUUCCGAGUGUAGAGGUGAAAUUCGUAGAUAUUCGGAAGAACACCAGUGGCGAAGGCGGCUCGCUGGACAAGUAUUGACGCUGAGGUGCGAAAGCGUGGGGAGCAAACAGG